UGAAGACCACAUGGAGUGGAAUACAAAUCUGCCGAGAUAAGGAUCUUUUCUGAAUCUUUCAAUUUUGGUGGCGUACCCUGCCAGGCUGCCACAGCAUGUUUGUUGUAAUGUAUGUUUUUACUUCUGUUUUUAGAAGACAACCCAGCUAAGAGAUAGUUUCAGAGACAUGAAGCGUGUGAAGUGAAUAACCUGCCAUGUGUAUGAACAUGUACCAGAUCUGCUUGAUGAAAGUCAAAUGCCUACUAAAUUCAUCGCCCAUAUGAUAAGCACCAGGAAAUUUACCUCAACCUAAGGAGUAAGGCUGUUGAUUGAUGUGAAUUCAAUUUUUACGGUUUUUUCAUCAUGAGCAUUUCAGUGUGCUUAUUA